UACGGAGGGGGCUAGCGUUGUUCGGAAUUACUGGGCGUAAAGCGUACGUAGGCGGCUUUGUAAGUUAGAGGUGAAAGCCCGGGGCUCAACUCCGGAACUGCCUUUAAGACUGCAUCGCUUGAAUCAUGGAGAGGUCAGUGGAAUUCCGAGUGUAGAGGUGAAAUUCGUAGAUAUUCGGAAGAACACCAGUGGCGAAGGCGGCUGACUGGACAUGUAUUGACGCUGAGGUGCGAAAGCGUGGGGAGCAAACAGG
rnacentral:rRNA from 1 species